AACGAACGCUGGCGGCAGGCCUAACACAUGCAAGUCGAACGCUCCGCAAGGAGAGUGGCAGACGGGUGAGUAACACGUGGGAAUCUUCCUAUCGGUACGGAAUAGCUCAGGGAAACUUGAGGUAAUACCGCAUACGCCCUUCGGGGGAAAGAUUUAUCGCCGAGUAGAUGAGCCCGCGCUCUGAUUAGCUAGUUGGUGAGGUAAUGGCCCACCAAGGCGACGAUCAGUAGCUGGUCUGAGAGGAUGACCAGCCACACUGGGACUGAGUCACGGCCCAGAGUCCGACGGAGGACAGCAGUGGGGAAAAUGGGACAAUGGGCGCAAGCCAGUUCCAGCCAUGCCGCGUGAGUGACGAAGGUCUUCGGAUUGUAAAGCUCUUUUACCAGGGACGAUAAUGACGGUACCUGGAGAAUAAGCCCCGGCUAACUUCGUGCCAGCAGCCGCCGUAA
rnacentral:rRNA from 1 species